CCUGGAUCUCUGUCAGAGUCGCCAUCUGUUGCAAAAAAGGAGCUUCUUUGACAAAGGUGAAAGCAUCAUCCAUCUACGGGACAGAGAAUGUAGGCAAGAUAUUGCUAUCUCCUUUUUCUUCAGUCCACUGACCAGAAGAAAAAAUACUGCUCACUGAUUUGCCAAUAAGCAAUAUUAAAGGAGAAGGCAAAUAGAAUGAUCUAUCUAAACAGCAGAGCUCAUCAUUCAGUAGAAUCCAUAAGAACAGCAGGUCACAUCCUCCGGCCGCUAUUUUUAAAGACCUGAAAAUAAUAGUACUCUAAGCUCAGCCUUAUUCAGAUUCCAGAGCUGAUGAUUGGGUGUGACCAGAGACAAACGAAGCCUUGGAACAAUUUCCCAGGAGUCCCAUUCACAUGGGGAUAUGGUAGCCCCGCAACUUUUUUUUGUUUACAAAAUUGUUUUUUAUAGACGCAAUAAAGAUCAAAAUAUAAA
rnacentral:lncRNA from 1 species